rnacentral:tRNA from 1 species
GGGGCUAUAGCCAAAUGGUUAAGGCAGGGAGCAUUCACUCCUGAUUAAUGGUUCGAAUCCAUUUAGCCUCU